UCCUCUAUUUAUGAGUAGAAGAGCUAAUUUGUCUUUGUGUCUUCUCUGAAUUCAUAGGGAUUCCUGACUGAGUAGGGAUCGCCGAUGAAGUUUACAGUGUUAGAGCUUUCGAAGUUGUAUGAGGUGGAAAGAAAGAUGGUGGAUGAGUUGAAAUGACUUAAAGUGUUGCUGUAUUCUGAGCUUCUUCAUGAAGAUCUUCUCAGGAGGCUAUAUCCUGGAGGUUUGGUCC
rnacentral:lncRNA from 1 species